rnacentral:rRNA from 1 species
GAGUUUGAUCAUGGCCAGGACGAACGCUGGCGGCGUGCUUAACACAUGCAAGUCGAGCGGUAAGGCCCUUCGGGGUACACGAGCGGCGAACGGGUGAGUAACACGUGGGUAACCUGCCCUGUACUCUGGGAUAAGCCUUGGAAACGAGGUCUAAUACCGGAUACGACACUGAAUCGCAUGAUUCGGUGUGGAAAGUUCCGGCGGUAUGGGAUGGACCCGCGGCCUAUCAGCUUGUUGGUGGGGUAAUGGCCUACCAAGGCGACGACGGGUAGCCGGCCUGAGAGGGUGACCGGCCACACUGGGACUGAGACACGGCCCAGACUCCUACGGGAGGCAGCAGUGGGGAAUAUUGCACAAUGGGCGAAAGCCUGAUGCAGCGACGCCGCGUGAGGGAUGACGGCCUUCGGGUUGUAAACCUCUUUCAGCAGGGACGAAGCGCAAGUGACGGUACCUGCAGAAGAAGCACCGGCUAACUACGUGCCAGCAGCGCGGUA